GUAAUCACUUGUUCUUUAAUUGAGGACUAGUAUGAAUGGCCCCACGAGGACUACACUGUCUCCUUUCUCUAAUCAAUGAAACUGAUCUCCCCGUGAAGAAGCGGGGAUAAACCUAUAAGACGAGAAGACCCUAUGGAGCUUUAAACAACAGAAAUAUUUGCUUCUUUCCUACCAUUUUCUGAAAACUAAAUUAAUUCAAGCAUUUUAUCUCCCAGUUUUAGGUUGGGGUGACCACGGAGAAAAAAUAAACCUCCAUGUUGAAAGAAGCCUUCCGCCUUCUAAGCAAAAAGACACAACUUUAUGCAUCAACACAUUGACUCCCAUUGACCCAAUAAUUUGAUCAACGAACCAAGUUACCCUAGGGAUAACAGCGCAAUCUACU
rnacentral:rRNA from 1 species